UACCUUGCAUCCAUUCAUGUCAGCGUUGGUAGUGUCAGGCACCCGAUGGUUCUUAGAAGAGUACUUAGCUCUACUCUGCAGUGUCUGAAGUUGCUGGAUAUAUACCUGCUGUAUAAACUGCUGACUAGGGCGCUGCAGUUUACUUACUGUCUUCUCAUGGGGACCUUCCCCUUCAACUCUUUCCUCUUGGGUUUCACAUCUUGGGUGGGGAGUUUCAUCCUAGUAGUUUGCCUGAGAAUACAGGUGAACCCACAGAACAAAGUGGACUUCGAAAGCAUCUCCUUGGAGUGAGACUUUGCUUCUUUCUCUUUGCUAGCACCAUCUUGUACCUUAUCGUCAUGAACUUUGUUGGCUGAAUCAUUCCCAUUUACUUAAUUGAAGAGUAAGAGACUGGAACAAUGCUCACUUUGAUUUUCCUGGAUAAGAGUUAAGAGUUCUUGAGAUGGCAGCUUGUUUGACACAUGAAUUUUCUUCAAAUUUGUGCUUACUACCAACUGAUUUGGUGUGGAGGAGAGCCCAGAGAAGUUCCCUCUCUCUGUCAGAACAACUUUGUAACAUUUAUUAACCUGACUUCUGCCUUCAAUUAACUGUAACCUUUUGCCUUCCAAAUUAAAAAGUUCCACAUUACUCC
rnacentral:lncRNA from 1 species